rnacentral:rRNA from 1 species
AUGAAUGGCCUCAAGUUUAAUUUUUGCUGUUGGAAUGUUCGUGGCCUUGCCCAAAGUCAGAAAUGCUCGGACGUCCUAUCUGAGCUUAUCGCCAUUAACCCACAUGCGUGUUUCCUUCAGGAAACCAAACUCAACUCUAUCACUACCUCCCUUUAGAAAAAAUUCUUCCCAAAGCACCUCGAUCUCACCCACACCUUGCCGGCCACCGGCUCGGCCGGAGGCAUUCUCUCGGCCUUCUCUUCCUCCCAGUUUACUCUCCUCAGUUCGGACGCCGGUAAUUUCUCCCAAACUUCUAUGAUCCCCUGCCUUGCCUCCCCCCAAAAGCUCGCCGUCACAAACGUCUACGCUCCCACUGACCAUGCCCUCAAGUAGGAUUUUCUGUCUGAGCUGGCCUCCUUCGUCCCACCCUCACACCCCUGGCUUAUCUUGGGCGACUUCAAUCUCCUACGGCGCCCCUCGGACAAAAACACGAAUAACUUCAGGCAAUCUGAAGCGGACAUGUUUAACGCCUUUAUCCACCUUCAUGGGCUAAUUGAGCUCCCUCUCCUGGACCGCUGCUAUACUUGGUCGAGCAAGAGGGAUCAGCCCACCCUUGAAAAAUUAGACCGAGUUUUCAUUAAUGUUGACUGGGACCUCCUCUUCCCAAACACCACAAUCGCAUCACUAACCCGAUAUAUUUCCGAUCAU